ACUGAUGAAGGCGACUAUCAGGUUAAAUUACGUAACCUAAGACGCUUUCUCGAAGGUGGCGAUAAAGUCAAAGUAACACUGCGUUUUCGUGGUCGUGAAAUGGCGCACCAAGAGCUUGGUAUUGAACUUUUAACGCGCGUUAAAGGUGAUUUAGAAGAUCUUGCCCAAGUGGAGUCUUUCCCUAAAAGAGCGGAAGGUCGCCAAAUGGUUAUGGUGCUAGCCCCUACAAAACGAUAAUAACUGGUAUAGCAAGUAAUAACGUUUAACGUUAUUCACCACUAUUAUCUUUACGCUGGUAAUGUAGGCUUGACAAGUAGUUGGUCUUUGUACGAA
rnacentral:misc_RNA from 1 species